rnacentral:rRNA from 1 species
AGCAGCCGCGGUAAUUCCAGCUCCAAUAGCGUAUAUUAAAGUUGUUGCAGUUAAAAAGCUCGUAGUUGAAUUUCGGGAUCAAUAUUUCGGUCAUGCCGUUGGUAUGCACUGUUAUCAUUGAUUUCUCACCUUCUAAAGAACCGUAAUGCCAUUAAUUUGGUGUUACGGGAAAUUAGGACUGUUACCUUGAAAAAAUUAGAGUGUUUAAAGCAGGC